GUGGGGAAUAUUGGACAAUGGGCGCAAGCCUGAUCCAGCCAUGCCGCGUGAGUGAUGAAGGCCCUAGGGUUGUAAAGCUCUUUCACCGGUGAAGAUAAUGACGGUAACCGGAGAAGAAGCCCCGGCUAACUUCGUGCCAGCAGCCGCGGUAAUACGAAGGGGGCUAGCGUUGUUCGGAAUUACUGGGCGUAAAGCGCACGUAGGCGGACAUUUAAGUCAGGGGUGAAAUCCCAGAGCUCAACUCUGGAACUGCCUUUGAUACUGGGUGUCUGGAGUAUGGAAGAGGUAAGUGGAAUUCCGAGUGUAGAGGUGAAAUUCGUAGAUAUUCGGAGGAACACCAGUGGCGAAGGCGGCUUACUGGUCCAUUACUGACGCUGAGGUGCGAAAGCGUGGGGAGCAAACAGGAUUAGAAACCCUUGUAGUCC
rnacentral:rRNA from 1 species